GAGAUUACUUCUCAAUUAUAUGGGGUGCUGCACAGUGAAUCCCUGUUUCUACCUAUUACUAAAGAAGUUGAAGGGAACCGCUUUUACCUUCUAUCAACUCAUGUGGACAAGAUGUGGACAGAUGAUCUAAACUUCGAUCAAUUGGAAUCCUUUUUUUUUUCUUCAGGUCCUGCUAAAAGCUGGGGAGGAUAUUUCAAUGCUACACCUGUGGAAUUCCUCAUCACUGUGAUAUAUGGUAACUUCGGUCUCUGGGUUAACCCCAGAGCUAAGAGAGCAGAUUGUAAAUGCACUUUGUAUUACUCCCUCUAUCAUCAUGAGAAACGCUGGAGGUGACCACAAAGAUGGACAUGGAAGAGGAGAUACUAUAUUAAUGGAAGCUUAUGUCAGUUUCCACCCCCAUAAAUUUGGAAAAUGCUACAGAGACCUCCUGCAGGAA